AUUGAACGCUGGCGGCAUGCCUUACACAUGCAAGUCGAACGGUAACAGGCCGCAAGGUGCUGACGAGUGGCGAACGGGUGAGUAAUGCAUCGGAACGUGCCCAGUCGUGGGGGAUAACUGCUCGAAAGAGCAGCUAAUACCGCAUACGACCUGAGGGUGAAAGCGGGGGACCGUAAGGCCUCGUGCGAUUGGAGCGGCCGAUGUCAGAUUAGCUAGUUGGUGGGGUAAAGGCCUACCAAGGCAACGAUCUGUAGUUGGUCUGAGAGGACGACCAGCCACACUGGGACGGAGACACGGCCCAGACUCCUACGGGAGGCAGCAGUGGGGAAUUUUGGACAAUGGGCGCAAGCCUGAUCCAGCAAUGCCGCGUGCAGGAAGAAGGCCUUCGGGUUGUAAACUGCUUUUGUCAGGGAAGAAAUCUUCUGGGCUAAUACCCCGGGAGGAUGACGGUACCUGAAGAAUAAGCACCGGCUAACUACGUGCCAGCAGCCGCCGUAAAAC
rnacentral:rRNA from 1 species